GCUGUAGCAAAGAAAAGGACAACAAUCGUACAAGGAUGGACUUGUGACUUUAUACCGUCUACCGCUAUGUUAUGAAAGCAAAUGAAACGACUUGCUUUUCUUUAAUAAGGGUUUGUAUGGACACAUUGAUAUGGAUAUUUCAACUUUGUUUCUUUUGUUACUCGCGGUGUACGAGUGAAGUGAGAACGCUAAAAACACCAUACUGUCGAACCAGCACGUUGCAGUCAUCAUAUUUCAAGUCAUCAUCAUCAAGCUUUGGAACCACAUCAUUCUCGCUGC